rnacentral:tRNA from 1 species
GGCCUCGUAGCUCAGUUGGCUAGAGCGUUGGUUGUACUAAAGCCUUCCCCUUGCUGACGUGGGUUCGAAUCGCACUGAGGCCG